rnacentral:rRNA from 1 species
AUACAUGCAAGUCGAGCGCUUUUUCUUUCACCGGAGCUUGCUCCACCGAAAGAAAAGGAGUGGCGAACGGGUGAGUAACACGUGGGUAACCUGCCCAUCAUAAGGGGAUAACACUUGGAAACAGGUGCUAAUACCGUAUAACAAUCGAAACCGCAUGGUUUCGGUUUGAAAGGCGCUUUUGCGUCACUGAUGGAUGGACCCGCGGUGCAUUAGCUAGUUGGUGAGGUAACGGCUCACCAAGGCAACGAUGCAUAGCCGACCUGAGAGGGUGAUCGGCCACAUUGGGACUGAGACACGGCCCAAACUCCUACGGGAGGCAGCAGUAGGGAAUCUUCGGCAAUGGACGCAAGUCUGACCGAGCAACGCCGCGUGAGUGAAGAAGGUUUUCGGAUCGUAAAACUCUGUUGUUAGAGAAGAACAAGGAUGAGAGUAAAAUGUUCAUCCCUUGACGGUAUCUAACCAGAAAGCCACGGCUAACUACGUGCCAGCAGCCGCGGUAAUACGUAGGUGGCAAGCGUUGUCCGGAUUUAUUGGGCGUAAAGCGAGCGCAGGCGGUUUCUUAAGUCUGAUGUGAAAGCCCCCGGCUCAACCGGGGAGGGUCAUUGGAAACUGGGAAACUUGAGUGCAGAAGAGGAGAGUGGAAUUCCAUGUGUAGCGGUGAAAUGCGUAGAUAUAUGGAGGAACACCAGUGGCGAAGGCGGCUCUCUGGUCUGUAACUGACGCUGAGGCUCGAAAGCGUGGGGAGCAAACAGGAUUAGAUACCCUGGUAGUCCACGCCGUAAACGAUGAGUGCUAGCUGUUGGACGGUUUCCGCCCUUCAGUGCUGCGGCUAACGCAUUAAGCACUCCGCCUGGCGAGUACGACCGCAAGGUUGAAACUCAAAGGAAUUGACGGGGGCGCGGCACCAGCAAUGUAGCAUGUGGCUUAGUUCAACCAAAGCGCACAACCUUAACGCGUCCUGACUUCCGUGGCCUCUCAGGACAUAUAGCUUCCGCGUUCGCCAGUUACGUGACCAGUGGAGCGUGUUUGUCGUGAACCGAGUCGAGAGAUGUGGGAUCCGUCCGCCACCGCCGCCACCGUGAUGUUAUUUGGCAUCAUUUGGUGAAAACUCUAGGGGCCUGCCCGGGACAACCUGAGGAAGUGGGGAUGAGGCGGGGGACAAGACCCCAUCACGGGCCUAUAACAUCGUGCUUAUUAGUUGAUUAAACAAAAAACCCCAAGGGGGGGGGGGCCCCGCUUGCCCUCA